rnacentral:rRNA from 1 species
CAGUAGCCGCGGUAAUACGUAGGUGGCAAGCGUUGUCCGGAAUUAUUGGGCGUAAAGGGCUCGCAGGCGGUUUCUUAAGUCUGAUGUGAAAGCCCCCGGCUCAACCGGGGAGGGUCAUUGGAAACUGGGAAACUUGAAUGCAGAAGAGGAGAGUGGAAUUCCACGUGUAGCGGUGAAAUGCGUAGAGAUGUGGAGGAACACCAGUGGCUAAGGCGACUCUCUGGUCUGUAACUGACGCUGAGGAGCGAAAGCGUGGGGAGCGAACAGGAUUAGAUACCCGCGUAGUCCCUGUCUCUUAUAC